CGGGGGGAGCAAACGUUGUUCGGAUUUACUGGGCGUAAAGGGCGCGUAGGCGGCCACCGCAAGUCGACUGUGAAAUCUCUGGGCUUAACCCAGAAAGGUCAGCCGAUACUGCGGGGCUAGAGUGCAGAAGGGGCAACUGGAAUUCUCGGUGUAGCGGUGAAAUGCGUAGAUAUCGAGGGGGAACACCUGCGGCGAAGGCGGGUUGCUGGGCUGACACUGACGCUGAGGCGCGAAAGCUAGGGGAGCGAACGGGAUUAGAUACCCCGGUAGUCCUAGCCUUAAACGAUGAAUGCUUGGUGUCUGGGGUUUUAUAGUCCCCGGGUGCCGUCGCUAACGCUUUAAGCAUUCCGCCUGGGGAGUACGGUCGCAAGACUG
rnacentral:rRNA from 1 species